AUGUGCACUGAGCUCCAGGAACGAGCUGCAACAGCACCAGCCAGCAAAACAUGCCCGAGAUUAUUUUGCCUAUUUGUUAAACUUCACUGCCAUCUGCUGCUGGAAGGGAACUCGGACCGCAGGCUGGGAAAGUUCAGGCCUCUGACCCUCACUAAGAGCAGCUCAACUAUUCUCCUGCUUAAGCUGAUUGCACCACCUCUCUGUUCCCCAGCAUGCAGCCUUGCUUCAUACACCUGCAGAAGUAAAGGCAGGUAAGUCCUGAUGUGGUGCUCUGAUACAGUACAUGCAGCUCAUUUCAGUUUGCUUUCUGAAUCAAAAAAUACUGGAUAUUUUCUGCUUUACAAAGGGAGAAUACAGCAGAAGGACUGACUACAAGGCAGACAGCUAGGAAAACACAGAUUGACAAAAGAGAAAAGGCAUUGUCUGGUAUUUUAAGAAAUCUUCAGUAGAAAGUGUUGGUAGAGAGCCUUGCCAGAAGAGAUUAAAGGGAGAAGUGGCUUUAAGAUCUUGGUGAAAGGUUAAUUAUUCUCCCUGUGGAAUAAUGCCUGAAGUAAACAGGGCACCUGUUCUUCCCACUGGAAGAAUUACUCAGUGCUGCCACUCAGUGCUUUUGCCCCACACCAACUAUACAAAGCUUGCUGCUCAGCUUCCCACCAGCAGAAGGAAAUAAUUUCUGCUGAAUUCAUCUACAGCAGACUUUACAAGGAGUCUGAAUAAGAGAAGCAAUGCAUAUCUGCAGCCAUAAGUAAUGCUAGCCAAGGGUGCGGUGCUAAAGGAGUCUCACUAAGUCUUAAGAGUAUUGCCAAGAGAUAGAAAGCUGGAAGGUGAUUAUAUUCCCUGCACAGAAGCAUAUCGAGGAGAUAAGAAGUAGCUUCACAUUUACUUAUUGUACUAUGCAGAAGUAACACAGACACCAAGUUAGAGAGCAGCAGUAAUGGGAAGCAGAGCUUGCUGGAGGCAGCUUUUAAUGCUUGCUUUGUGAAUGAGCUGUGAUUUUAAUUGCCAUUUGGACUAAACUAGUCUGGACAGCCUCCAACACAGCCCAAGUGUUAGCCUAGCUGUAGGAAUGUUUCACCUUGCUGUAAAAGUUACGGAAGUUACAAGGCAUCCUUUUCCACCUGUUUCUAGAAGGAGUAGUCACUGAUAAGAAGGCAUGCUUUGGGGAUACACAGUAUAAUUCCAAAUGUAUUACUUGAAGCUUUUCAAACUCACAAGAAUACGAACUGCUAAAGACAGCAGAGACAUUGCUAGGAGAGUUCUACAACAAAAAGAUCUCAUUAGCUUUGAGCUAUGAAAAUAAUCCAGCACAGUCGCUGGAGUCAACCAAACUGCUGCUUAUGGGUUGACUGAUAAGGAAAAUGCUAACAAUCUUGGAGGUGAAUUUUUGUCCUAGGUGGCCCUGCUUAGAGGAUGUGAGGCUGUGUAAUAAGACACUUCCAGUUCUUCCUAUUUAUAUUAUGGGCCCUUGCAAUAUUCAGUGUUUGUUUAAAGCCCAGCUCCUGGAAUCAAGAGAUUAGGUGAAAGACUCUGUUUUAAUUAAUAAACAAAUAAGAAAGGUUUUCUUCA
ensembl:lncRNA